AAAUGGCCCGAUUAAAAACAAGCUCUGCUGUUUUAUGACCAUUAGGUUUUCAUUGUUUUCCUUCGUCGACCCUUCAACCUCACCAUCUCUGCCUGUUUCUCAUAAGUCUGCAGAAACACGAUUUCUUUUUCCCUACUAUCCACCUCUUCACCUCUCCUAUCUUUUCAUAUUCACAUCUUCCUUUUGGUUCAAUUCAAUGUAUUCCUCUUAACUUAGACAAUAAAUGUUAUUCUCAUUAAACUCAUUGACAAUUUCGAACUCUCUGUCUCCCUUCCCAUACAAUGAGAUCCGAAUCACCUCAGACCCUAUAAAUUGGAGAGGGUUGAGAAACAAUUUAUUACAACACAAAAAGAAAAGAGAGGAGAGAAGGAGACUAACAUACAAUAAGAAACAAGCAACAACAAGGAGCUAUUAACUAUAAGGAUCAGUGAACCAAAAGUACAACUUUAAGAGAGAAUGAGUAUCAGUCGGGGAAGGAGGAAGAGAGAACAGCCUGUCAUGAAGCCCCCGGUCCACUUGCUUGAAGAAAGGCCCCACCGGUAAGGAGACAUCCCUGAAAAUCCGAGCAUUGCGCUCAGGCCAAAGGCUAUAGAUCACAGCCUGGAGAAUCAACUUCAUGAUGGGCCUAACCUGCGAUGAGAACUGUCCCUGAUAUUGCGAGAUCAUGUUGACCGCAGCUGGAAGGUCCAAAGGAGGAACAUAGAUAAACCUUCCGCAGUAACGGGUCCAGAUAGCAACGGCGUAAGGACAGCCAAAGAAAAGAUGGUUGUGGGACUCGAUGCCAUUAGCGCAUAAGACACAGUUUGCAGGGACAGAGAGACCCCAAGAAAUCAGGCGAUCCCUAGUAGGGAGCCUGCCAAGCAUAGACAUUCACGCAACGAAAGAGCAACGCGGAACUUCUUCCUUGAACCAAAUUACAUCAUGCCAUACUAUUUCAGCUGAUGAAGUUCUCAAUCUAUCCCAAGUUAUUUGAGACGGAAAUUUAUUAGCAAACCCACCAGAUUGAAUCCGCCACAGAUAGGUAUCACCUCCCUUUUCAACCGAUGGAACUGCAGUAGAAGAUAAGACAAUUUGUAGGGUGAUUGCAUUCUCAGAUCUUGCUGGAGGCAGGAACCAUUCACCAUUCCGGACAGCAUCAGAAACAGAGGCAGAGUCAUGAACUUGAAGCUUCCUAGGACCUGAUGAGAAUAGCAGAUAUAGCGGACCCAAGUCUGUCCAAUAAUCAUACCAAAAGGAGGCUCUUUGCCCAUCACCAACAGCACAACGCAGAAACUGAGGAAGGAUGUUUUUUAGCUGCAACAUACCUCUGAUCGUCGCAGAAAAACGCUGAGAAUCCCUAACCAGCCAAAAUUUUUUAUCACCGAAGCGAUUAUGAGACAGCCAGCCUACCCACAAGGAGCCGGAGUUGGAGAAAAAGUUUUUUUUCCCGUGAUUACAUGUUUAUAUGUUGUAGACUUGUAUAUCAUGCUUCUAAGAUAAUCCAGCUUGAUUUCUGAAACAAUUCCUUUCCACGGAGAUUUCCAGGCAUAGCUUACGCAAGCAAGGCUUCGGAGUAGGAAGGUCAGGUAUUUUUGUUUUAACCUCUUCAAGUGUUGUUUUAGUUUCGUCACCAGACAUAGUCAUAUUCUCAAAAGUUAUUUUUUUUGUACACGAGAGAUUGCGCGCUGUAAUCGAUGAGAUCGAGGCUCUGAAACCGGAAUUCGGGGAGUGGAUUAACUGGAUAUAGCCAACGAUGAAUCCUUUUGUGUUGGAAGUGGUUCCCAGUGGUAUUGUAUACUCCAGGACCUCUCUUUAAUGCUACGACCAACUACAGUGUUGUUGUUAGAGUCUUCAAUCAUUUGGAUGAUCCUCUUCUUUUGACUUGGUCUGGGCCGCCUGGCAUCCAAAUGCAGCGUCACUUGUGGCAAGACGGUCUUCCUGGCACACAUUUCCUCCGAGAUGGAACUUUACUUACCAGUUUCAGGUGGAAGAUCAAAUUGGAAGCUUCUGCUCUCCCUUACUCAACUUCCAGAGAGCAUCUGCUAAGUUUGGUCAUGUUGUGAUUAAUAACCGGAACAUUAAAUCUUAUCCUUUUCCCACAGUCUGACGGUAAAAUGGUUUUAAGAAUAUUACUUGACUAUGGGAAAGAACUUGGGAUGCCGGAUGGAGUCCUCAUCAUGGACAGUGUCCUUACAAGUACAGCAGUAGUGUACCUGAUGGAAUUGAUUACUUAACCGCUCAUGUUGAACUAGAACGCUGCCGCUUUAGACAAGAAACCAGGAGUUUGCCGUGACUGCCAGGGCAUUGGUCCUGUUCUUAGUGAUAUGUAUGGGGGUACAUGAAAACUGAAAGCUAUCGAAAACGAGCCAAAGAUGUGUAUUGAGUUUACAGAAUGUCCUAACUGUUACGGUUUGUCUCGCAGCACAGAGGCAAUAAUUAUGAUUAUAGAAGAGGAAGAAAACUAAUUCAUUGUGGAUGCAUGGGAGGCUAUAGGAGAAUGGGUUGCAAGAACAUGUUUUUGUAAUGCUGCUAGCUUCUUUUUUUGUAAUGCUGCGAGCUAUGUGUUGUUAAUUCUGUAUAAACCUAAGAGUUUUCUUCUUCCUUAAAUAGUCUUGACAACUCGA